GAGCCUCUGGUGUCCCGUGUGUCUGGCCUUCAGGAGGAGCGGGAUGGGACCUUUCCACGCCAUUGGCUUUGGGUGUGCACUGAGUUUGACAGAGGUGGACCCUGGUGCCAGACUCCCCUGAUCGGAGCGGUCCUCACGUGCCGAGGGAUCUCUAUGGAGAGGCACCUGGUUCCAUGGAGGAUGGGAAGGCUGGAGCUGAAAUGCAGGGAGAUGAGAACCCACCUCCCAUCCCUGCAGCGGGGUUUCUACAGCGGCAGGCUGUGUAGAACUCUUGAAAUUGAUUUUCAGAAACACCUGCUGGGAAUAAAUGAUGGAUC